UGGGGAAUCUUCCGCAAUGGACGAAAGUCUGACGGAGCAACGCCGCGUGAGUGAUGACGGCCUUCGGGUUGUAAAGCUCUGUUAAUCGGGACGAAAGGCCUUCUUGCGAAUAGUUAGAAGGAUUGACGGUACCGGAAUAGAAAGCCACGGCUAACUACGUGCCAGCAGCCGCGGUAAUACGUAGGUGGCAAGCGUUGUCCGGAAUUAUUGGGCGUAAAGCGCGCGCAGGCGGAUUGGUCAGUCUGUCUUAAAAGUUCGGGGCUUAACCCCGUGAUGGGAUGGAAACUGCCAAUCUAGAGUAUCGGAGAGGAAAGUGGAAUUCCUAGUGUAGCGGUGAAAUGCGUAGAUAUUAGGAAGAACACUAGUGGCGAAGGCGACUUUCUGGACGAAAACUGACGCUGAGGCGCGAAAGCCAGGGGAGCGAACGGGAUUAGAUACCCCGGUAGUCCUGGCCGUAAACGAUGGGUACUAGGUGUAGGAGGUAUCGACCCCUUCUGUGCCGGAGUUAACGCAAUAAGUACCCCGCCUGGGGAGUACGACCGCAAGGUUG
rnacentral:rRNA from 1 species